GACGAACGCUGGCGGCGUGCCUAACACAUGCAAGUCAACUUGACUGAAGGAGCAAUCUGACAGUAGAGUGGCGCAAGGGUGCGUAACGCGUAAGUAACUUGCCCAAGGUAAGGAAUAACGUCGAGAAAUCGGCGCUAAUACCUCAUAAUGCAGCGGAUCCGCAUGGAUAUGUUGUUAAAAGGUUUACCGCCUUGGGAUAGGCUUGCGUCUGAUUAGCUAGUUGGUGUGGUAACGGCACACCAAGGCUACGAUCAGUAACUGGUCUGAGAGGAUGAUCAGUCACACUGGAACUGAGACACGGUCCAGACUCCUACGGGAGGCAGCAGUGAGGAAUAUUGGGCAAUGCUCGAAAGAGUGACCCAGCAACGCCGCGUGGAGGAUGAAGGUAUUCUAUAUCGUAAACUCCUGUGAGAGCAGACGAAAGACAGAUUAUUAAUCUGGAUGACCGUAUGCUCAGAGGAAGCCCCGGCUAACU
rnacentral:rRNA from 1 species